CCUACGGGAGGCAGCAGUAGGGAAUUUUCGGCAAUGGGGGGAACCCUGACCGAGCAACGCCGCGUGAGGGAGGACGGCCCUACGGGUUGUAAACCUCUUUUGCCGGGGAGCAACGGGCGUCACGUGUGGCGCCACUGAGAGUACCCGGAGAAAAAGCAUCGGCUAACUCCGUGCCAGCAGCCGCGGUAAUACGGAGGAUGCGAGCGUUAUCCGGAUUUAUUGGGUUUAAAGGGUGCGUAGGCGGAUCGUUAAGUCAGUGGUCAAAUUGAGGGGCUCAACCCCUUCCCGCCAUUGAAACUGGCGUUCUUGAGUGGAAGAGAAGUAUGCGGAAUGCGUGGUGUAGCGGUGAAAUGCAUAGAUAUCACGCAGAACCCCGAUUGCGAAGGCAGCAUGCCGGCUUCCGACUGACGCUGAAGCACGAAAGCGUGGGGAUCGAACAGGAUUAGAUACCCUUGUAGUC
rnacentral:rRNA from 1 species